GGGCCCGCACAAGCGGUGGAGCAUGUGGUUUAAUUCGAUGCAACGCGAAGAACCUUACCUGCCCUUGACAUCCUCGGAAGGGACCGGAAACGGACCUGUGCCUUCGGGAACCGAGAGACAGGUGCUGCAUGGCUGUCGUCAGCUCGUGUCGUGAGAUGUUGGGUUAAGUCCCGUAACGAGCGCAACCCCUAUCCUUAGUUGCCAGCACGUAAUGGUGGGAACUCUAGGGAGACUGCCGGUGACAAACCGGAGGAAGUGGGGACGACGUCAAGUCAUCAUGGCCCUUGAUGGGCAGGGCUACACACGUGCUACAAUGGCCGGUACAAAGGGCAGCGAAGCCGCAAGGUGGAG
rnacentral:rRNA from 1 species